rnacentral:rRNA from 1 species
GCAAGUCGAGGGGCAGCGCAGUGUAGCAAUACAUGGGCGGCGACCGGCAAACGGGUGCGGAACACGUACGCAAUCUACCCAAAACUGAUGAAUAGCCCUCCGAAAGGAGGAUUAAUACAUCGUAAUUUAUUAGAGUGGCAUCACUUUAUUAAUAUAGCUCCGGCGGUUUUGGAUGAGCGUGCGCCUGAUUAGAUAGUUGGCGGGGUAACGGCCCACCAAGUCUGCGAUCAGUAACUGGUGUGAGAGCACGACC